rnacentral:rRNA from 1 species
AUUGAACGCUGGCGGCAGGCCUAACACAUGCAAGUCGAGCGGAUGAAGGGAGCUUGCUCCUGGAUUCAGCGGCGGACGGGUGAGUAAUGCCUAGGAAUCUGCCUGGUAGUGGGGGAUAACGCCCGGAAACGGGCGCUAAUACCGCAUACGUCCUGAGGGAGAAAGUGGGGGAUCUUCGGACCUCACGCUAUCAGAUGAGCCUAGGUCGGAUUAGCUAGUUGGUGGGGUAAAGGCCUACCAAGGCGACGAUCCGUAACUGGUCUGAGAGGAUGAUCAGUCACACUGGAACUGAGACACGGUCCAGACUCCUACGGGAGGCAGCAGUGGGGAAUAUUGGACAAUGGGCGAAAGCCUAAUCCAGCCAUGCCGCGUGUGUGAAGAAGGUCUUCGGAUUGUAAAGCACUUUAAGUUGGGAGGAAGGGCAGUAAGUUAAUACCUUGCUGUUUUGACGUUACCAACAGAAUAAGCACCGGCUAACUUCGUG